UACGUAGGGGGCUAGCGUUGUCCGGAAUCAUUGGGCGUAAAGCGCGUGUAGGCGGUCCGGUAAGUCCGCUGUGAAAGUCGAGGGCUCAACCCUCGAAUGCCGGUGGAUACUGUCGGGCUAGAGUGCGGAAGAGGCGAGUGGAAUUCCUGGUGUAGCGGUGAAAUGCGCAGAUAUCAGGAGGAACACCUAUUGCGAAGGCAGCUCGCUGGGACGUUACUGACGCUGAGACGCGAAAGCGUGGGGAGCAAAAGGG
rnacentral:rRNA from 1 species